AGCUUUGCGCAGUGGCAGUAUCGUAGCCGAUGAGGUCAAUCCGAGGCGCGAUUAUUGCUAGUUGAAAACUUUUCCCAAUACCCCGCCAUGACGACUUGAAAUAUAGUCGGCAUUGGCAAUUUUUGCGAGCCUCUGCGGAGG